GUGCCAGCCGCCGCGGUAAUACGUAGGUGGCGAGCGUUGUCCGGAAUCAUUGGGCGUAAAGAGCGCGUAGGUGGCUUGUCAGGUCCGGUGUGAAAUCCUGGGGCUUAACCCCAGGCCUGCAUUGGAAACCGGCUUGCUAGAGUCUGGGAGAGGAGAGUGGAAUUCCUGGUGUAGCGGUGAAAUGCGUAGAUAUCAGGAGGAACACCGGUAGCGAAGGCGGCUCUCUGGAACAGUACUGACGCUGAGGCGCGAAAGCUAGGGGAGCGAACAGGAUUAGAAACCCGGGUAGUCC
rnacentral:rRNA from 1 species